rnacentral:rRNA from 1 species
UACAGAGGUCUCAACCGUUGUUUCGGAUUCAUUGGGCGUAAAGGGUGCGUAGGCGGUCGCGCAAGUCGGAUGUGAAAUCUUAGGGCUCAACCCUGAAACUGCAUUCGAUACUGCGUGGCUCGAGUACUGGAGAGGAGACUGGAAUUUACGGUGUAGCAGUGAAAUGCGUAGAUAUCGUAAGGAAGACCAGUGGCGAAGGCGAGUCUCUGGACAGUUACUGACGCUGAGGCACGAAGGCCAGGGGAGCAAACGGG